CGGUUUUUAGCUUCUCGGACCCUAAAUCAAAGAAAGUAAACCCUAACCACAAAUAACUUGUGUGACAUUAAUAACUCCAAAAGGGUCUCCACUGAAUAGAUGGGUCUCAAGCCAACUUGUUAAGGACUACUCCACACAAGUUGAACAUGACUAUAUCAUCCUUCUAUUAAUUGCACUAAAGUUCGGGCUAGAACUUAUCUCA
rnacentral:lncRNA from 1 species